CUACGGGACGCAGCAGUGAGGAAUAUUGCACAAUGGGGGGAACCCUGAUGCAGCAACGCCGCGUGGAGGAUGACGCAUUUCGGUGUGUAAACUCCUUUUAUAUGUCAAGAAAAUGACGGUAGCAUAUGGAUAAGCACCGGCUAACUCCGUGCCAGCAGCCGCGGUAAUACGGAGGGUGCAAGCGUUACUCGGAAUCACUGGGCGUAAAGGACGCGUAGGCGGGUUGGAAAGUCAGGUGUGAAAUCCUACAGCUUAACUGUAGAACUGCACUUGAAACUUCUAAUCUAGAGUAUGGGAGAGGGAGAUGGAAUUAGUGGUGUAGGGGUAAAAUCCGUAGAUAUCACUAGGAAUACCUAAAGCGAAGGCGAUCUCCUGGAACAUUACUGACGCUAAGGCGUGAAAGCGUGGGGAGCAAACAGGAUUAGAUACCCCAGUAGUC
rnacentral:rRNA from 1 species